rnacentral:lncRNA from 1 species
GGUGCUGCUGGAGAGUGACUGUAGGCAGGUCCGGCAGAUGAGGAUCCCUGAAGUCGGAGCUGCCAGCUGCGUCUGUCUCAUGUCGGUGAGUGUUCUUUUGGUCGCUUUCGUCAUUUAUAGGCUCUAUUGAUCCCCGUCUGACGCUCUCAUUUUUCCUAUCUCUUAGCUCGCCCAGUACAUGAUCCGUCUGGAGGAGGGCCACGAGGAACAGGCGAGGCUUCUGGCGAGGGCCGAGAGCCGACUGAAAGCUGUAGAGGAGGGAGGCCAGGCUGCGG